UGGGAUAGCUCAGUUGGUAGAGC
rnacentral:tRNA from 1 species